rnacentral:rRNA from 1 species
GCGGGGAAUAUUGGACAAUGGGCGAAAGCCUGACGCAGCCAUGCCGCGUGAAUGAUGAAGGUCUUAGGAUUGUAAAAUUCUUUCACCGGGGACGAUAAUGACGGUACCCGGAGAAGAAGCUCCGGCUAACUUCGUGCCAGCAGCCGCGGUAAUACGAAGGGGGCUAGCGUUGCUCGGAAUUACUGGGCGUAAAGGGCGCGUAGGCGGACAGCUUAGUCAGAGGUGAAAGCCCAGGGCUCAACCUUGGAAUUGCCUUUGAUACUGGGUGUCUUGGAUUUGGGAGAGGUGAGUGGAACUCCGAGUGUAGAGGUGAGAUUCGUAGAUAUUCGGAAGAACACCAGAGGCGAAGGCGACUCACUGGCCCAAUACUGACGCUGAGGCGCGAAAGCGUGGGGAGCAAACAGGAUUAGAUACCCCAGUAGUCC